GGGGGGAGCAAGCGUUGUUCGGAUUUACUGGGCGUAAAGGGCGCGUAGGCGGCCACCGCAAGUCAAUUGUGAAAUCUCCGGGCUUAACUCGGAAAGGUCAACUGAUACUGCGGGGCUAGAGUGCGGAAGGGGCAACUGGAAUUCUUGGUGUAGCGGUGAAAUGCGUAGAUAUCAAGAGGAACACCUGCGGCGAAGGCGGGUUGCUGGGCCGACACUGACGCUGAGGCGCGAAAGCUAGGGGAGCGAACGGGAUUAGAUACCCCGGUAGUCCUAGCCUUAAACGAUGAAUGCUUGGUGUCUGGGGUUAUAUAGUCCCCGGGUGCCGUCGCUAACGCUUUAAGCAUUCCGCCUGGGGAGUACGGUCGCAAGACUG
rnacentral:rRNA from 1 species